rnacentral:rRNA from 1 species
AACAAACGCUGGCGGCGUGCCUAAUACAUGCAAGUCGAACGGGGGAAGCUUUCGGGUGAGUACUAGUGGCGCACGGGUGAGGAACGCGUGGAUAAUCUGCCUUAGAGUGGGGGAUAACUAGUCGAAAGAUUAGCUAAUACCGCAUAAGACCACGAGAGCUGCGGCUUUUGAGGUCAAAGGUUUUUCGCUCUAAGAUGAGUCCGCGUAAGAUUAGCUAGUUGGUGAGGUAACGGCUCACCAAGGCGACGAUCUUUAACUGGUCUGAGAGGAUGAUCAGUCACACUGGAACUGAGACACGGUCCAGACUCCUACGGGAGGCAGCAGUAGGGAAUAUUGCACAAUGGAGGAAACUCUGAUGCAGCGACGCCGCGUGAGUGAUGAAGGCCUUCGGGGCGUAAAGCUCUGUCGCAGGGGAAUAACACAAUGAAGGUACCCUGUAAGAAAGGAUCGGCUAACUUCGUG